rnacentral:rRNA from 1 species
UACGGAGGGUGCAAGCGUUAAUCGGAAUUACUGGGCGUAAAGCGCACGCAGGCGGUCUGUUAAGUCAGAUGUGAAAUCCCCGGGCUUAACCUGGGAACUGCAUUUGAAACUGGCAGGCUUGAGUCUCGUAGAGGGGGGUAGAAUUCCAGGUGUAGCGGUGAAAUGCGUAGAGAUCUGGAGGAAUACCGGUGGCGAAGGCGGCCCCCUGGACGAAGACUGACGCUCAGGUGCGAAAGCGUGGGGAGCAAACAGG